rnacentral:rRNA from 1 species
GCUCAACCGUGGAGGGUCAUUGGAAACUGGGAAACUUGAGUGCAGAAGAGGAAAGUGGAAUUCCAUGUGUAGCGGUGAAAUGCGCAGAGAUAUGGAGGAACACCAGUGGCGAAGGCGACUUUCUGGUCUGUAACUGACGCUGAUGUGCGAAAGCGUGGGGAUCAAACAGGAUUAGAUACCCUGGUAGUCCACGCCGUAAACGAUGAGUGCUAAGUGUUAGGGGGUUUCCGCCCCUUAGUGCUGCGGCUAACGCAUUAAGCACUCCGCCUGGGGAGUACGACCGCAAGGUUGAAACUCAAAGGAAUUGACGGGGACCCGCACAAGCGGUGGAGCAUGUGGUUUAAUUCGAAACAACGCGAAGAACCUUACCAAAUCUUGACAUCCUUUGAAAACUCUAGAGAUAGAGCCUUCCCCUUCGGGGGACAAAGUGACAGGUGGUGCAUGGUUGUCGUCAGCUCGUGUCGUGAGAUGUUGGGUUAAGUCCCGCAACGAGCGCAACCCUUAAGCUUAGUUGCCAUCAUUAAGUUGGGCACUCUAGGUUGACUGCCGGUGACAAACCGGAGGAAGGUGGGGAUGACGUCAAAUCAUCAUGCCCCUUAUGAUUUGGGCUACACACGUGCUACAAUGGACAAUACAAAG